GACGAACGCUGGCGGCGUGCUUAACACAUGCAAGUCGAACGGAAAGGCCCUGCUUUUGUGGGGUGCUCGAGUGGCGAACGGGUGAGUAACACGUGAGUAACCUGCCCUUGACUUUGGGAUAACUUCAGGAAACUGGGGCUAAUACCGGAUAGGAGCUCCUGCUGCAUGGUGGGGGUUGGAAAGUUUCGGCGGUUGGGGAUGGACUCGCGGCUUAUCAGCUUGUUGGUGGGGUGGUGGCUUACCAAGGCUUUGACGGGUAGCCGGCCGGAGAGGGUGACCGGCAACAUGGGGAUGGGGUAAGGGCCAGGCAGCCAACGGGGGCAAGGGGGGGGGAGAAUUGCACAAGGGGCGGAGGCCGGAUGAAGCAACGCCGGGGGGGGGAGGACGGCCUUCGGGUGGGAAACCGCUUUCGCUGUGACGAAGCGUGAGUGACGGUAAUGGGUAAAGAAGCACCGGCUAACUACGUG
rnacentral:rRNA from 1 species